rnacentral:rRNA from 1 species
CACGCCGUAAACGAUGAAUGCCAGUCGUCGGUGCGCAUGCGUAUCGGUGACACACCUAACGGAUUAAGCAUUCCGCCUGGGGAGUACGGUCGCAAGAUUAAAACUCAAAGGAAUUGACGGGGGCCCGCACAAGCAGUGGAGCAUGUGGUUUAAUUCGACGCUACGCGAAGAACCUUACCAGGACUUGACAUGGAAUUUAAAACUCUAGAGAUAGAGCCAUAACAAGUUCACACAGGUGG